rnacentral:rRNA from 1 species
UACGAAGGGGGCAAGCGUUGUUCGGAAUUACUGGGCGUAAAGGGCGCGUAGGCGGCUUAUCAAGUCAGGCGUGAAAUUCCCGGGCUCAACCUGGGGGCUGCGCUUGAUACUGAUGAGCUUGAAUGCGGGAGAGGAUAGUGGAAUUCCUGGUGUAGCGGUGAAAUGCGCAGAUAUCGGGAGGAACACCUAUGGCGAAGGCAGCUCGCUGGGACGUUACUGACGCUGAGACGCGAAAGCGUGGGGAGCAAACAGG